CAGUCACACCACGGCACACUUCUACUGACUUUUACUACACACCUCAUACACACCUAGCAUCCUAGUGGGGAGAGAUUACAGUUAUUCCCUCUCCGGGGAUGCGAGCCUCCGGGGGGUAAUCUAGAGUCCUGUACCAGGGGUUAUUCUUGUUAGGCAGAUAAUCCGAGGGCUAUGUGAUAAUAACAAGUCCUUUCUCCUCCAAAGGGUGUUAGCGGAGUAAUUUUACAUAGCUCCAGGUACUAGGAAAGAGUAGACUAGCGGCUGGUAGGGAGUGAGCUCUAGGAAAGAGUAGUCUGGUUAACUAAUGGGUGGUGAGCUUCCUUUAGCUAUAGUAAAGUUAUUCACCCCUUUUUGCAUGUCCAGGAUAUGUCACAGUAGACACCAUCAUUCGUUUGUCUUCAGAUGUUCAGGCUCUUUUCAGGGACACGACCGUUUACUGUUUCAACAUCAUGAUGAGCCUAUGCACAUGAGACUGGUCCAUAUAGAGCAUAGUUUUCCCAGUUUGCUGUGCAAGGAUUAAUCUGUACGAGAGCCCUGACCUCUAUCUUAGACUUUGGGAUGAGCUGAAGCAGAACAGAAUGAACAUCAAUGUCAAGCUUCACUAAAACUGAUGUAGGCAGAUCUCAAACUGUGAUGCAGAACCUUUCUCUUAGGAGCAGAGGCAGUUACUGAUAAGUUGCCAUUAUUGAGUAUUUCAUUGUUUAUUAGUCCACAUACAUACUUUAAUAACUUAAAUAAGAAGUGCUCUUUAAACUUAUUAACAGUGGCAAUGGUUUUUGUUCUUUGUAGUGUACAGCUUAUAAUUGGACACUGUGGAAACUUCAGAGUGAUAAAAAAGUGACAAUAUCUCAUUCAGGUUUUGUUGCAAUGGAACUUUUUAAAAGUCGUGAAGUGGUAUCGUUUCACAGAGACAAAAAAUAAAAAAGAAAGCAAUAAGUCAGAAACAAGGCGCUGUUAUGGCACAAUUUUAUCGUCAUCACAGUAUGAUCAUCUGCAACAAACACAUCGCAAAAGCCUGAAUUUAUCUCAAUAAAUAUGAAACAAUACAAUACAAACAGGUAUUAUACUGCCUUACACAUGAUUUGUAUAUUUCACCUUUUGAAUGAAGGCCUGAGAAUAAUUGCCAUGGGUUCUCACCAAUGCCAAUUUCACAUGUGGGCGACUGUGAAAGAUGUUCUUCUACAACAAACACACAGAGGAUGUGGUUAAGAGCAGUUCAAACUGGCAGCAGAUACAAACUUUGUCAGUCAUAGAUAGAUAAUACUGGACUGAAAAUUUGCCUUGCCUCACAGUGGCUCUGUUUGCGACAGUUAAGACAGGAAACAAAGAUAUGAUUUUACACAGGCAAAGACAGUUUCAACACACACAUUGCUUUGCAUUUUAGAAGUAUCCUCAGACAUCUGAGUUGUUGGCACAUUCACUGCUGACACGCACUUAAACUGUGUCUCCUGUGGCCUUGAGCACUCUGAUGGUAUGCGCAGUUCACUGAUAAAACUGCUGCUGCUGUGGAGAGGAUCUGUCCUGUUCAUGUGUUCUUUAUCUUAUCCAAGAAGCUUUUCCGCUCUUUGACUUUCAAAUGAGUGCCUUUGUGUUUCUUUCUUGCAGAAUUUCACUUUUAAAAUCAAACCCGGGGCAGUACAGAAACCUAAAACAUUUCUAAAAAAAACCCAGCUGAGAGGGGAGGUCAGUGAAACUAGUUGUUGGAAAACUGCCGAGCAUUGCUCUGAAUUUAUCAGGUGAGGAUGAGAAAAUGCCAACAUGGAGAUAAGUCAUGUUGCUGAUAAUGCUGAAAAAGGCUUCUCCCUUACAUAGAUAAGAUUGGCACAAAUACACAGCACAACAUUUAUAGUCUGGGAAUAGUAAAGACUUGAGCAUUUAUGGCAAAGCAGCUUCCUGGAAGUGAGAGUGAGAAAUGGAAUCUGCUCUCAUUACUGGCUCAAUGAAUGAAGAAAGGGAAAAAUGAAAACACAGCCUUUGAAAGUAAUAAAGCAGAAGAGGAGGAGAGGUUAAUGAAUAGCUCUGAAGGAAUGAGAAACAUUAGUUACUACUCCAUGUGGCAACAGAUUCUGGAGAGUGGGCUCUGAGUGUUUAUGGAGAGGCCUUUUGAUCCUCUUUAAAGAAACUCAGCUCUUGACCUGCUUUCUUUUUUAACUUUUUUUUUUUUUACAUCCACCAUUGUAGGAAGAACAUAUAUUCACAUGUAUCAUUAGACACAGAAAUAUAUUUAAUCAAAGUUUUGUUUAAUGACCCUGUUUAUUUUUUACUCUUACACAUUUCAGACUGUAUGAGGAAAAAACCCAAAUGUAGCUAAAUGAUUUGUACUUGUUACUCCAUGUCCGAUGUUGAAUAUCUAGAGGUGGAAAAGGUGCAAUAAUACUGUACUCAGGUGAAAUUAAAGAGCAGUUGUACUUAAGUAAAAGAAUAACCACUGGUCUACAUAGCUACAUCAAUAAAAGUAAAAAGUUAUUUAUUUAAAAUGUAAUUACAGCGUUGACUUUUUGAAUCCUGAGGUGGGGUUGAUAAAUCAAAAUAUGAUAUCAAUUCAAUAACACUGUAUGGAUGUAAUAUGAAAUCAUUACUCUUGUUAUGAUCCUGAGCAUUUAAACAGAAAGAUGUACAUGAUUUAUUUCACAAGUAAAAAUGUAGCUCUACUGAAAUAUUAGCUUUUUUUUUUCUUUUUUUUUUUAAAGGUGGAUUCUUGCUCCAGAAUAGAGAUUUAGUUUCUCCUUUCAUGUGUCUUCAUGUCCCUCCUCAACAUUACCAGGCUUUUAGCUGGGUCCACGUUUCUGUCCCACCCAUCCAUUUUCAUCUUGUGAUCUGAGCAUCAGCUAGUGUCUUCUUCUUCCCCUCCAAUCUAUCCGUGCUCCUGUCCGUCAUGUUGUGCAGGUAAGCCAAUCAGCUGGCCAGCUUCUAGGAGUAGAUUUGAUUUCCUGGUGCCUUUUUAGUUGUUUUUUUUACUCAGUAACAAAUGCUAUUUAAAAUAAAGUGAAGUACAAUACUUCCCCCACAUAUACAGAUAUAUAGUAUAAGUAUAAGUAAGUAUGAGUAUAAGAAACAAGUACUCUAUUACAGAACAUGAGUAGAUGUGAUUUUUGACUUUCCACCUGGUGAAUAUUUCACAUAAACAGAGGUGGAGAGUAAAUAAUAAUAAUAACUUUAUUUAAAUAGCACCUUUUAAAAACAAGACAUUACAAUCAUGUCUUCAACACCUUUUACACCAAUCAGUGUAAAGAUUUAGAAACAGAAACACAUGCAUGUAAAACGCUAACUGUAAGAUUUAGAAUAAUCCCACAGUUCAAUCAACACCCCCCCAAAACAAAUUACUUUACAGCCUUUUUUAUGGACGCUUUAAGGGCAGGGCAGUUGUGUUAGACUAGUGAGGUGUUCCAAAAAAAGUUGCUGUCUCUUGUCUCUUCCACAUCCUUUUGGAAACUAAAACUUGAAACUGAAAAGUUGAGGUUUAGAGUUAAGAAGAACCCUUGCUUUUGAGAUUGAUUCUCAUGAAAUGAUGUGUCAUGAAAAGACGGCCCUGUCAUAUUUUAAAGCUCACGUAAUUUCCAGAGCAACAUUUUUUAUUACUUUCUCUAGAAAACGAAAUCAGUAACGAAAAUGAAUCUGAUUUCCUGGAAAUGAACGUUUACGUUGCUGCACUUUGUUCCUGCUGCUGCAAACAAAACCGGUCUCUUGAGCUCUAACAGGCGUGACUUCACAGAGGACUGCUUCCACUCAGAGAUACUUUUCUUGGGAAUUGUGAUGAAGUCAGUAAAAAAGUGUGCAUUUUAGUGAAGUGAGGAUGAAGGGGUUCUACAAACACACAGCACCAGAUGCCAGGAGCUCAUACUGCACAUACAUGGCUUUCCCUGCACUCUCACAUUGAGUAAGAGCUGCUGCUGUCUUCCUGUUAAUGGCAUUGAAAGCGGUCGGGGGUGGAAAUCAGCGAUGAGGGCAAUCAUUGGGACAUCAAGGCUCCCUCCUAAAAAAUCGAAGCCAGAUGACAGUAAAAAGCUCCACAUGGGAUUUGUGCACACGAAAACACUUACAGCCACAAUCCAGACUUGAACACAUUGCACAAGACCCCACAUGGUUCUGACAAACACGCACACUUUCCGAGUCUUGCUGACACACUCGGUUUCUCACACGCAACUCUCUACAAUGCUCUGGAUCUGUGUUUUAUGGUGCACAUGGCGGCGGCCUGUGGAAGGUGAUCUGGCUGUCAUGAAGUUGUUUACUUGUUGUCCUGCUCAGUGUCUGUAGGUUUAAUCACACACUGGUUCAAAAUAGACACGCCCUCCUCAGUAAAUCACUCACUCAUUCCUCCAUUGUUGUCUUGGGAUGCACACGACAUUUCCUUUUUCCUCCUUUCUCUCCUUCCUGUUUGAAAAUAAAGCUUCCCUUAGUCUGUUUUAGAAACACAGCGGUCUUUUUAAAGAAUAACCUUUUGGCCUUGCAUUGUUACUUUGUGACCCCCAUGUUGCACAAAUAGCACCAGAUGGCUAGAUAAUCUAGUGGUUUGGAUUUUCCAAAAAAGGAUGGUAAGUGAAUUAAAGCCUUGUAAAAAGAUAAACAUCACAGCAGAGACAACCUGACAUUGAAAGGUUGUCUUGACCUUGGAUUCAAGUAACCAGACUUUAUCGUAUUGAAGUUGCUUCCACACUAACAUCUCUCUGUUCUCUUCUCUACUCUACCCACCGGCCUCCACCAACUGGUUUGCUUUACACUUCAACACUACACUCAUCCGGACAUUGCUGACUGAUUAAACAGAUUUACAUUACUACUUUGGUGUAUAAAAAAUGAACUUCCUUUAACCCUUGUUUCAUGAGUGAUACCCUUCUUUGUCACUUACUUUGAGCGGUUUGUUACAACAAACAAGAAGUCAGUAAAACAGUCUCAUCAAAGUUUACUCAGUGGCAGCUGUUGGCCUCACAAACGUUGGUUCCAUCCAUGGUUCUUUGCUCAACACAUUUGCAGUUCUGGAGAAAGUUAAUUUAUAUUGUGUAUAUUGUUUAUAAUAAAACGACUUUUCAUUUCUUUGCACAUUUCCCGGGACAAAUACCAUGACUCAAUCCAAGAGUAAACAACAUUAUCACAGGUACUGUAACUUAAAUGAGCAAUGGUUAGUGGGUUAGUAAACGUUUGCUACAGUUGCUGCUGCAAAGCUUGUGGUCAACCAGCUCCUGAAAGCAAUGUUCACAAAUGUUCUGCUAUUCUAGCUGACAUUUAAACAACAACAAGAAUUUAGGAAAUCUACUCACAAUGUGCUGUUAUUGGCUAGGAGAGCAAAUAGGUAUAUAAGUCAAGUUCAAGAUUGUACCCAGGAGACUACCCUUUGUGUCUCAUGUUGUUCUUCUGGGUGAGACAAGUACACGGCUCUGUGGUGAAAAGACUUCUCAGCAAACUUCUAGGCAUCAGGUACAAAGCAGCAACAGGAAAGGAGGGCAGGAUAAGGCAGUGCUCCCUUGGUGGGAAGUGUAAGCCUUUUUCUUUUACUAUUUACUUACACAGAUUUAUGUACAAACAACUGUAUUUUACACAUAGAGAAAGACUUCUUACUGUGACGAUAUUUGCCAAAGUAGAAAAAUGUGCACCUUCAAACUAUUUGGACAGAAAUUAAUAUCCGUGAUAUUCAGAUCGAAAAAGUUGAUAUAUACUGGUACACUUUGAAAAAAGCCAGGGCUUAGAGGCUAAAGAAAUGAGAUGUAAAACUUUAAUAGUUCUAAUGGAUCAAUGCGGGGUGAUUUGACAUUUUUGUGUAUUUUUCCAGGUCUGCUUUUGGUUUGGUGCUUGUGUUUUUUCUUUCAGAGGCUUAUUGGCUGCUGGAGCUCUCUGCAAUCACUCACCUGAUCAUCUGUAAUCACCGGCUGCAGCAUUUAGACCCUGGUUCACCUCUCCCAAACUGCCAGAUUAUUUCCGCCUACACUGUGUGCCUCCAACCAACGAGCUCCAGCGCCUCACCACCCAGCCUCUCAUUCAAGCCUCACCAGCCUUCACCAGCCUCACCUCAAUAAAUACCCCUUUUACCCAC